rnacentral:rRNA from 1 species
AUGGGGCGAUCGCCGUGCUGCGAGAAGGAGGGGCUGAAGAAGGGGCCAUGGACGCCGGAGGAGGACCAGAAACUGCUCUCCUACAUUGAGCAGCAGGGCCACGGCUGCUGGCGCUCGCUGCCGGCCAAGGCCGGGCUGCAGCGGUGCGGCAAGAGCUGCCGGCUCCGGUGGACCAACUACCUCCGGCCGGACAUCAAGAGGGGCAAGUUCAGCCUGCAGGAGGAGCAGACCAUCAUCCAGCUCCAUGCGCUUCUCGGCAACAGGUGGUCAGCGAUCGCGACGCACCUGCCCAAGCGCACCGACAACGAGAUCAAGAACUACUGGAACACGCACCUCAAGAAGCGGCUGGCCAAGAUGGGCAUCGACCCGGUCACGCACAAGCCGCGCUCCGACGUGCCCGGCGGCGCGGGCGGCGCCGCCGAGGGGGCGGCCGGCGCGCAGCACGCCAAGGCCGCGGCGCACCUCAGCCACACGGCGCAGUGGGAGAGCGCGCGGCUCGAGGCCGAGGCGCGCCUGGCGCGCGAGGCCAAGCUGCGCGCGCUCGCCACCUCCGCCUCCUCCUCGGCGCAGUACCUGUCGGCGGCCCACGCCGCCGCGCCGGGGCUCGACUCGCCCACGUCCACGCUCAGCUUCGCCGACAGCGCGGCGCUCGCGUCGGUGCUGGAGGCGCACAGCGCCGCGGCCGCCGCGCGCGCAGCCAUGCAGCCCAUGCAGGCGUACGAGGAGGCCUGCAAGGACCAGAACUGGGGCGACGCCGACGCCGCCGACGCGGGCUUCGCCGAGGCGGCGGGCUUCACCGGGCUGCUUCUUGACGGCUCGCUGAGCCAGAACCCGAGGCCGGCGGCGAGGGACGACGCCGAAGCGCACGAGACAGAGGAGGAGAAGAACUACUGGAACAGUAUACUGAACCUGGUCAACUCGUCUGCGUCAGCGGUGGUGCCCGCCGACGAGGCGUACUCGCCGGCGCCAGAGUUCUGA